rnacentral:rRNA from 1 species
AACGUAGGUGGCGAGCGUUAUCCGGAUUCACUGGGCGUAAAGCGCCUGCAGGCGGUUUGGUAAGUGGGGUGUGAAAUCUCCCGGCUCAACUGGGAGGGGUGAUUCCAUACUGCCAGACUGGAGGGCAGGAGAGGGAAGUGGAAUUCCCGGUGUAGUGGUGAAAUGCGUAGAUAUCGGGAGGAACACCAGUGGCGAAGGCGACUUCCUGGACUGUACCUGACGCUGAGAGGCGAAAGCUAGGGGAG